CCUACGGGUGUCAGCAGUGAGGAAUAUUGGUCAAUGGGCGUAAGCCUGAACCAGCAAAGUCGCGUGAGGGAUGACGGUUCUAUGGAUCGUAAACCUCUUUUAUAAGGGAAUAAAGUGCGGGACGUGUCCCGUUUUGUAUGUCCCUUAUUAUUAAGGAUCGGCUAACACCGUGCCAGCAGCCGCGGUAAUACGGAGGAUCCGAGCGUUAUCCGGAUUUAUUGGGUUUAACGGGUGCUUAGGCGGCCUUUUAAGUCAGCGGUGAAAGUCUGUGGCUCAGCCAUCGAAUUGCCGUUGAAACUGGGAGGCUUGAGUAUGUUUGAGGAAGGCGGAAUGCGUGGUGUAGCGGUGAAAUGCUUAGAUAUCACGCAGAACCCCGAUGGCGAAGGCAGCCUGACAAGCCAUGACUGACGAUGAUGCACGAAAGCGUGGGGAUCAAACAGGAUUAGAUACCCGUGUAGUC
rnacentral:rRNA from 1 species